UGGGAUAACACCUGGAAACAGAUGCUAAUACCGGAUAACAACACUAGACGCAUGUCUAGAGUUUGAAAGAUGGUUCUGCUAUCACUCUUGGAUGGACCUGCGGUGCAUUAGCUAGUUGGUAAGGUAACGGCUUACCAAGGCAAUGAUGCAUAGCCGAGUUGAGAGACUGAUCGGCCACAUUGGGACUGAGACACGGCCCAAACUCCUACGGGAGGCAGCAGUAGGGAAUCUUCCACAAUGGACGAAAGUCUGAUGGAGCAACGCCGCGUGAGUGAAGAAGGGUUUCGGCUCGUAAAGCUCUGUUGGUAGUGAAGAAAGAUAGAGGUAGUAACUGGCCUUUAUUUGACGGUAAUUACUUAGAAAGUCACGGCUAACUACGUGCCAGCAGCCGCGGUAAUACGUAGGUGGCAAGCGUUGUCCGGAUUUAUUGGGCGUAAAGCGAGUGCAGGCGGUUCAAUAAGUCUGAUGUGAAAGCCUUCGGCUCAACCGGAGAAUUGCAUCAGAAACUGUUGAACUUGAGUGCGGAAGAGGAGAGUGGAACUCCAUGUGUAGCGGUGGAAUGCGUAGAUAUAUGGAAGAACACCAGUGGCGAAGGCGGCUCUCUGGUCUGCAACUGACGCUGAGGCUCGAAAGCAUGGGUAGCGAACAGGAUUAGAUACCCUGGUAGUCCAUGCCGUAAACGAUGAG
rnacentral:rRNA from 1 species